GAGCGGCGGACGGGUGAGUAAUGCAUAGGAAUCUGCCCGAUAGUGGGGGAUAACCUGGGGAAACCCAGGCUAAUACCGCAUACGUCCUACGGGAGAAAGGGGGCUUCGGCUCCCGCUAUUGGAUGAGCCUAUGUCGGAUUAGCUAGUUGGUAAGGUAAUGGCUUACCAAGGCAACGAUCCGUAGCUGGUCUGAGAGGAUGAUCAGCCACAUCGGGACUGAGACACGGCCCGAACUCCUACGGGAGGCAGCAGUGGGGAAUAUUGGACAAUGGGGGCAACCCUGAUCCAGCCAUGCCGCGUGUGUGAAGAAGGCCCUCGGGUUGUAAAGCACUUUCAGCGAGGAAGAACGCCUAUCGGUUAAUACCCGGUAGGAAAGACAUCACUCGCAGAAGAAGCACCGGCUAACUCCGUGCCAGCAGCCGCGGUAAUACGGAGGGUGCAAGCGUUAAUCGGAAUUACUGGGCGUAAAGCGCGCGUAGGUGGCUUGAUAAGCCGGUUGUGAAAGCCCCGGGCUCAACCUGGGAACGGCAUCCGGAACUGUCAGGCUAGAGUGCAGGAGAGGAAGGUAGAAUUCCCGGUGUAGCGGUGAAAUGCGUAGAGAUCGGGAGGAAUACCAGUGGCGAAGGCGGCCUUCUGGACUGACACUGACACUGAGGUGCGAAAGCGUGGGUAGCAAACAGGAUUAGAUACCCUGGUAGUC
rnacentral:rRNA from 1 species